AUUGCCCUUUGUUUCUGGCCCUGUGCGGCUGGAGGCGGCCAGCACUGUCCUGUCCUGGUUGAAGCAAUUUUAAUGUGUGUGGGGUGCUGAAUGUGGGCUGGGGAUGGCUUCCCUGCCUUUGGGUCAUGGGGAGACACACUUGCAGAGGGGUUUUGUGGGUCUUCCUCAAGAAUAUCAUCCCUGAAAUUUUUAACCUGCUAAAAGGGUAUUCCUCCCUUCAUCUUACAGAAUCACCACUUCACAUCUGUAAGCAGAGCGCUGGCUAACUCUGUGGCUUAAGCAGAGGUCAGAACAUCUGAAGUGAUC
rnacentral:lncRNA from 1 species